rnacentral:rRNA from 1 species
GGACCCUAGGUGAGGCGGAAUUACCCGCUGAAUUUAAGCAUA